CAAGGUGACCUACGCUUAGAAGUCUAUAAGGAUCCAAUGGAUCCACAAGUCUGAGUGCAUGACUGUUCCCGCAUUCUGAUGAGUCCAAUAGCAUAGUGAAAGAAGUGAUGCUUAUGUUUUGUUUUAUAUUUUGUAGUCACUUCUAGCCUCAGUAUAUGUAUGUAUUGGAAUUCAUAUGUAUUUGUAAGGGAUUUGUAAUAAUUUUAUUUCGCUGCAUAAAUUUUAUCAUGCACUCGCUAUUCUAAAUCUGUAUCUGAUAUCCAUUUGCCUUAAUUAGCACUUGGGAUGUCACAGCCACCGUAGUUUUUUCCUUAAAGAUCCGGUGCCAUUAUCUAU
rnacentral:lncRNA from 1 species